CACAUCAGAUUGAAACACCUGCUCCCUUACGAUAACUGAAGUUAAGCAAAGCCGAGCUUCGUCAGUACCUAGAUGGGUGACUGCGUAGGAAUACCAAAUGUUGUAA